CCUACGGGAGGCAGCAGUGAGGAAUAUUGGUCAAUGGGCGCAAGCCUGAACCAGCCAAGUCGCGUGAGGGAUGACGGUCCUAUGGAUUGUAAACCUCUUUUGUCAGGGAGCAACGCCGGCUACGUGUAGCCGGACUGAGAGUACCUGAAGAAAAAGCAUCGGUUAAUUCCGUGCCAGCAGCCGCGGUAAUACGGAGGAGGCGAGCGUUAUCCGGAUUUAUUGGGUUUAAAGGGUGCGUAGGCGGAAUGCCAAGUCAGCGGUAAAAUCGCGGGGCUCAACCUCGCUCCGCCGUUGAAACUGGCGGUCUUGAGUGGGCGAGAAGUAUGCGGAAUGCGUGGUGUAGCGGUGAAAUGCAUAGAUAUCACGCAGAACUCCGAUUGCGAAGGCAGCAUACCGGCGCCCAACUGACGCUGAAGCACGAAAGCGUGGGUAUCGAACAGGAUUAGAUACCCCUGUAGUC
rnacentral:rRNA from 1 species